UACAGAGGUGGCAAGCGUUGUUCGGAAUUACUGGGCGUAAAGGGCGCGUAGGCGGCCUACUAAGUCAGACGUGAAAUCCCCCGGCUUAACCUGGGAACUGCGUCUGAUACUGGAAGGCUUGAGGAUGGGAGAGGGAUGUAGAAUUCCAGGUGUAGCGGUGAAAUGCGUAGAUAUCUGGAGGAACACCGGUGGCGAAGGCGGCAUCCUGGACCGGUAUUGACGCUGAGACGCGAAAGCGUGGGGAGCAAACGGG
rnacentral:rRNA from 1 species